rnacentral:rRNA from 1 species
UCAGACGAUGCGUCAUGCAUAUCAAUAAGCGGAGGAAAAGAAACUAACAAGGAUUCCCCUAGUAACGGCGAGUGAAGCGGGAAGAGCUCAAAUUUGAAAUCUUAAAGGGUUUCCCUUUACGAAUUGUAGUUUAAAGAAGUGUUUUCUGUUGAGGUUUUGGUAAAAGUUCUUUGGAAUAGGACAUCAUAGAGGGUGGGAAUCCCGUAUUUGACCUUUACUUUCAACUUUGUGAUACACUUUCAAAGAGUCGGAUUGUUUGGGAAUGCAGUCCAAAAUGGGUGGUAAAUUUCAUCUAAAGCUAAUAUUGGCGAGAGACCGAUAGCGAACAAGUACCGAGAGGGAAAGAUGAAAAGAACUUUGAAAAGAGAGUUAAACAGUACGUGAAAUUGUCAAAAGGGAAGCGUUUGGCACCAGUGUUGUUUUUCUGAAAAUCAAUUAAAGAACUGUUUAUGCUAAGUUGUUUAGACUUUAUCAGCUAACUGUUUAGUUUUGAGCUUCUCUCUAAUGCACUUUUCAGUUAACAAGUCAACAUCAAUUUCUUUUGCUGUAAAAAAGCUUGAGGAAGGUGGCUUGAGAUUCGUCUUAAGUGUUUAUAGCCUCUUGCCUAUGCAGUCGGAGAGAUUGAGGUCUGCAGCGUAGAUCCUUCGGGGCUAAAUGCAUUUGUGCUAAGUUAUAGCAUUUUAUAGACAACUUGUUGACUAUGAUUUGUCUUGUAGCUUACUCGCUUAUGUUAUUUUACCUACGCUUAGGAUGUUGACACACGCGCGUGCUCG